UCGUGGCUAUUGGAUCACACUUGAUCACGCCCGAUCAAGCUCCCAACCAUCAGAUCAGACCCAAAUCAUGUCCGCAAGCCACUGUCGCCAUCCGAUCAUGCGUCAGAUCGAUUCUCAUCCAUCUGAUCACACGCCAAUCUAUAGAAACCCAUCGUGAACCACCAGCUAUUGUGGACCACGACUAAAGAUCGCGUGGGCUACGAUGUUACACCACGGUGGAUCGAUCUCGGGCCUG
rnacentral:lncRNA from 1 species